rnacentral:sRNA from 1 species
CCAUAGCCCUGGUUGCAGUGGAAAGCUUUUGUGACAAAAAUACUGCUUUUGUGUUUUUUGCAAUGCGACCAGCGGAAGCUUUGAAAAAAACAAAACAAAAGCGUAUUUUUGAGAAAAACUUGUAGCGAAAAACAGGAUUAAGC